rnacentral:rRNA from 1 species
UACGUAGGUGGCAAGCGUUUGUCCGGAUUUAUUGGGUUUAAAGGGUGCGUAGGCGGUCCAUUAAGUCAGCAGUGAAAUACGGCAGCUUAACUGUCGAGGUGCUGUUGAUACUGGUGGACUUGAGUACUGAUGAGGUAGGCGGAAUGGACGGUGUAGCGGUGAAAUGCUUAGAGAUCGUCCAGAACACCGAUAGCGAAGGCAGCUUACUAAAAGAGUAAACUGACGCUGAGGCGCGAAAAGUGUGGGGAGCAAACAGG